rnacentral:pre_miRNA from 1 species
AUUUUUUCUAAUGAACAUUCUUUGUUGCAAGGUUUUCUGAUUGUAUUGUUACUUUUUUGUGCAGAUAUAUAAUCCUUGCCCAAACUCAAGACAACUUUGUUUGACAAUGAGAGAGAGCACACCCGUCAGCAUUCGUGCAAA